rnacentral:misc_RNA from 1 species
UUCGUUCGCUCUUUGGAUCUCGUUUUUCCUCCCCUCGCCCCCCGUUCCUCCGUAUUCUCUCUAUUUUCUCCAGCUCUGUCUUUUUGUUUCCACCCAUUUCCACACCCACGUGUGUUCGUUUCUUCGCCAGUCCUGGCUUCGUCUCUCUACACCUUAUCCCCAGUCUUCACGACGUCCAUUCAAUCCUAUCUCAUCUGACGGAGGUUAGCCGGCACCUCACGCAGCCUUCCCAUUCUCCUCUCUUCUACCGGCAAGAUAUCGCUGCAAGGAACUCGAAAUAUCGAAACUGUAUCUACGAGACUGGAUAUUUUAUCAAAGGAUCGUGGAUGUCUGG